UACGUAGGGACCAAGCGUUGUCCGGAAUUAUUGGGCGUAAAGGGCUCGUAGGCGGUUUGUCGCGUCGGGAGUGAAAACUCAGGGCUUAACCCUGAGCCUGCUUCCGAUACGGGCAGACUAGAGGUAUGCAGGGGAGAACGGAAUUCCUGGUGUAGCGGUGAAAUGCGCAGAUAUCAGGAGGAACACCGGUGGCGAAGGCGGUUCUCUGGGCAUUACCUGACGCUGAGGAGCGAAAGUGUGGGGAGCGAACAGG
rnacentral:rRNA from 1 species